AGGGUUUGAUUCUGGCUCAGGAUGAACGCUAGCUACAGGCUUAACACAUGCAAGUCGAGGGGAAACGACAGAGGAAGCUUGCUUCCUUUGGGCGUCGACCGGCGCACGGGUGAGUAACGCGUAUCCAACCUUCCCGCAAGUAAGGGAUAACCCGUAGAAAUGCGGCCUAAUACCUUAUGUUUUCCUUAGAGGGCAUCUGAUGAGGAACAAAGAUCCGUCGCUUGCGGAUGGGGAUGCGUCUGAUUAGUUAGUCGGCGGGGUAACGGCCCACCGAGACGACGAUCAGUAGGGGUUCUGAGAGGAAAGUCCCCCACAUUGGAACUGAGACACGGUCCAA
rnacentral:rRNA from 1 species